rnacentral:misc_RNA from 1 species
UUUCCGUAGGUGAACCUGCGGAAGGAUCAUUAAUGAGUUGUCAUCGGGUUCGAUGCUGGCAGCCAAUUUUUGGAUGCAUGUGCUUGCCCUAACAAUCAUCUUCCAAAUACCUGUGCACUUUUUCAAGGGAGUCUUGAGUUGGUUGCCGCUCUUGGGUGAUUUUCUCACAUUCCCUUAAAUCAUUAUACGCUAUUAACAUUGUUGAACGUGCUCUGUGCCGCAAGGCUAUUAAUAUAAUACAACUUUUAACAACGGAUCUCUUGGCUCUC